rnacentral:rRNA from 1 species
GACGAACGCUGGCGGCGUGCUUAACACAUGCAAGUCGAACGGCAAGGCACUGCUUUUGUGCGGUGCUCGAGUGGCGAACGGGUGCGUAACACGUGAGUAACCUGCCCUUGACUUUGGGAUAACUUCAGGAAACUGGGGCUACUACCGGAUAGGAGCUCCUGCUGCAUGGUGGGGGUUGGAUAGUUGCGGCGGUUGGGGAUGGACUCGCGGCUUAUCAGCUUGUUGGUGGGGUGGUGGCUUACCAAGGCUUUGCCGGGUAUCCCGCCUGAGAGCGGGACCGGCCACAAGGGGACUACGAGAGGCCGCAGACGGCAACGGUGGGCAGCAGUGGGGAAUAUUGCACAAUGAGCGGGAGUCUGAGACAGAAGCGCCGCGGGCGGGAAGACGGCCUUCGGGUUGAAAACCGCUGUCGCCUGAGACGAAGCGGUAGUGACGGUAAUGAAAAAAGAAGCACCGGCUAACUACGUG